UACGUAGGGUGCAAGCGUUGUCCGGAAUUAUUGGGCGUAAAGAGCUCGUAGGCGGUUAGUCGCGUCUGCUGUGAAAACUCGGGGCUUAACUCCGGGCCUGCAGUGGGUACGGGCUGACUAGAGUGCGGUAGGGGAGACUGGAAUUCCUGGUGUAGCGGUGAAAUGCGCAGAUAUCAGGAGGAACACCGGUGGCGAAGGCGGGUCGCUGGGACGUAACUGACGCUGAGACGCGAAAGCGUGGGGAGCAAACAGG
rnacentral:rRNA from 1 species